CAAAUUAAGAUCAGCUCUGCGCAGAUCAUAUCUGAUGUGUAUAUGCAGCCUAUUUAUUUGGACUGCAAUGAUAAGGUGUCACUUCUGGGACAUCUGUGUUGGGCUGUACUAAUGAGACUGAAACAAUUUUAUUUCACAGCUUUACCUACCCUGAUACAUACAAGGAGAAAAGUUGCUUCUGGCUGCAGUUCCUUCCCUCACUUAAUUGUGACAGCUUUGCCUGAACAUGAGGAAAAACACUGGUACGACAGGCAUGUAAUUUCCAAAACAAUAUUUCCUGUUUGCUGUGAAGAAAAGACAAGAAGGACAGAUGAUCCAUUCAACAGGUGUAGAUCAGUUGGCACAGCCCCCUCCUCAGGACCACUGGCACCAGAUCCUUACACUAGCAAGAGCAGCAUUGCUAUUUCUCUGCCUACAAACAGUUAAGUGCUUCUUCUGCAUGACCAUAACCAAAGGGUGACCCAUCCACUCCCUUUUGUCCUAUGGGGACCUCAGAGCCAGUUUCUCAGUCUUCAUCUCCUCCUCCUCCUCCUCCUCCUCUUACCACUGCUGCUGACGCCCUGGGUGCUGCUCCCAGGUUUGAGACGUUGACAGGCUGAAGAAAGGAUUUGCAAAGACCUUCUCACUGUGUAAAUAGAGUGAUGGCUGGAAUUAAUUUCAACUCCCCACGUAAUGAUAAUAAACAAUAAUAAGAAUUCUAGGCCAAAGCAUUACCAGGAACAAAUUAUGAGGAAAGACACUAUUCGCAUUUGGUUGUGACGAUGAACUAAAAACAUCUGUGCAGAGCAGGUACCCUUUGAUAUGCAUGUAUUUUUCUUCACGAAGGUGGUCAUGAAUCUGAUCAGAUCUGUGGUAGUCACGGGAGAUAAAUGAAAGCAAAGGGACUUAGUGGAUGAAAGGACAAGGCCUCAGCUGUUCCCUGCUCCAAUUUUGAGAGUUUCAUCUUUUCGUAUUAGCAAAACAGUAGUUUGUGUCAAACGUUUUGGACAAUAAGAAAAUGCAGAUCUGUGGUUUUGCAGAACAUAGAUUCAGCAUUAUAACUGUAUUGCCCUGUGCUGUGUCCAGUGCACUGUCCUCCAAAUGCAAAUGGCUUUGAACUUCCUAUGCUGAAAGUUAAGUUUGCACUGUAAAGAAAAGCUUUUGUAUUAAGUGAUAAAAAA
rnacentral:lncRNA from 1 species